rnacentral:snRNA from 1 species
GGAUGUGAGGGGCAAUCUGGCUGCAACAUCUGUCACCCCAUUGAUCGCCAGGGUUGAUUUGGCUGAUCUGGCUGUGUAGGUGGGUGUCCCCUUCCCCCCUCCUGAAGCUGUGCUCUUGGUAGAUAGAGGAGGACCAUUUCCUCCAUCAAGGGUAUAGGAGUAGCUGCGCUCCCCUGCCAGAACCUCCAAACAAGCUCUCUAGAUGUGUUAGAGCAUGGGCCGGGGAUUUAGCUCAGUAGUGCUGC